UAGGAAAGUUAAUUCCAUAUGGUGAUU
rnacentral:piRNA from 1 species